UUGUCCGUUAUUUGGACCCUAACAUUUCAAAAGGGCACAACACUUUUGUAAACAAUAGUGUAUCCCUUUCACUCAAAUGACAGUUUGCAUAUGGUGUUAGAGGAAUACCAAGGGGUUAGACUUUUCGCACCGUUUUCGAAUAGAGCGUUGUGUUCAAGAGUGCGCCGCGGUGUUUGAGGUGCUGGCGAUGUGCGCGCACACAAAUCACACUUGUGGAACUGUCACAGCACCUUCUUCGCAUAACUGGCAUCACUUCACUCAAAAUGUCAAAAUGAAUCAUUGUUUACUAAAAAUAUUCAAAAUUGAAAUCAGCUGAAAGAAAGUGAAUUAAAAACAGGUCGACGGCGCGGAUUUGCCGGCAGCACAGAUUCAGGGGGUCUGUCGUUGGUGUUUGGAGGAUUCUUCGGAGUGACGGCGGCAUCGAUCCGUUCUUCAGUGGAAUCGUGAAACUACGAAUGAAAUCCGCCGAAGAAGAGAGUUGUCGUUGUCGCGUCAAGGAGAAUCCGGCUGACGCCGAUAUUCAGCUUCAGCAAGAUGGACACGAAGGAAUCAGCCGUCGCAAAACGGGCUCUAAUGUUACCAAUCUUGGGUUCGGUUCUAAAAGUUUCUCUUUCGGAACCGGCUUCAGUUUCGCCAACGAGGCCAAACCUGCCAAUUUAAGCAGCAGCAAGGCAGACAUAAAAGCUACCGAUGAACCGAUGAUGGAAAUCAUAAAGUUUACGCCGGUCGAGGACAAGUAGGACAGCAUUUUUGUAAAACGGUUCAAACUUUUCCUCAAAGCCUAUAAGAAUAACUUGGGCCAUGGCAUCGAAAAGCUGCACACCAAUCAAGUGGACGGAAAAGUAGGAUUCUGGAUCGCGGUGACACAUUCCUGAGACAGAUUCUUCUCGACAACAUUCGGAGGUUUGGGACGUCAUCAUGAUGUGGGUUCCAACGCUGGAAUGGAAGCCACUAACAAGCUGCACCUAAAUACCCAAUUUCAUUGUUUCAAUCUGUUUCAAUAUUUCACAAAUAAAAAAAACUGCAUUGAAAAAAGAAACUCCCCCCUCUCCAAAUAAAAAAACGUUGAAUUUAUCUGGUGAAUGCCAAGUUCCCCAGGACGAUUUUCCUAAUCCAUUAAAUCUACGAGGUCUACGAGCAGCAGCAAAAUGAGGAAAACUCGCUGUGGUGUAUCAGCUCGACCUGCCCUUUAUGAACUUAAUUGGGCACCGAAUUCUAAUCGGAUCGUUAUCUGUACUGUUACCGGGGAAGCCACAUUUCGAUAUGUAGAUGCUGGGAAAUAGUACCAAAUAUUGAUGCUGCAGCAAAUCUGAACCGGAUCUCCAUGCCUUUCAGUGGGUACACAAUCCAGCCGAUGAAGAGUUUCGCCGACGACGUUUCUCACUUCGAAAUCAGAAGAUUCCUCCCGGAGCUUAAACCGGCCCGGUGGAAGGGCUUUGGAAGGUGCCUUCCUCUGAACCUCCUCCACCGGUUCCUUCGCCGUGAACCAUCGCACCCGUACCUCCGUUUAUUCGGGCUUAUGAACGAAAAGGGGAACAAAAUCUCCUCCAACUCCGAAUAGCGGGACCGCUCCGUCACACUAGGCCAGGGGUGCUCAAAGUUUUUGGAGACCGGGCCAAAUUUUAAGCUCAAAUGAGCUUGCGGGCCAAAUUUACAAAUAAAAAAUAUAUAUAUUAGAAGAAAUUAAAUUACGUUAUUUUAAUUAAAAAAAAAUAAUUUCUGUUAAGCCUCCUUGGGCAUGAGUAAGGACCUCGACGCCGUUAGCAAUGUUGGCUUUAAAAUAAAAUUUCGUGAUAAUAUCACUUCCCCCCAGCCAACAUUUUUGCCAUGCGAAGCGGGCCUCGACGCUGUGUCUAGGUUUAAUUCCUAGCUAGGAGCCAUCAGUGUCUUAAGAGGUGGUCCCAAGGCCGAGUAGGAGUUCAUGAAGCAAAUUAGUCGUCUCCCACCCCUUUUAAAUUGAAAAAUGAACUCUGAAACCAGCGCUUACUCACAACAGAAACAGAGGCCUCUUCUAGGCAUUGUAGGAUAGAAUAGAUUUUGAAAUUUAUUUAAAAAAAAAUGUUACGUAGCAUUUUGAUAUGUCAAAAUUUCCAUAGAGUCUCGGUCAAUCAAUAGUGCGAUGAUAUCGGACAAAAAUCGUUAAUCUGUUGAACUAACGGUUUUCGGAUUAUGGUUGUAUCGACCAUUGUUGCGAAUCGAGGGUCUACUGGAGCCUUGACGAUCAAAUGGAGCCUAACAUUUCAAAAGGGCGCAUGGGUUUUGUGAACAGGAGUGUGUCUCCUUCACUCAAAUGACAGUUUACAUAAGGUAUAAUAGAGAUGCACUCUCGUUUGCAAAGCUCUAUGCCCUAAUGAAAUGAAUGGCAUGAAAUAGUCGUCUUAAUUACUAGUGUUCAACUUAUGAACUGUUCAUUUAUGUUUAUUGGUUUUUGGAAGCGGCAAGACUGGUUUAAAAACAAGAUCCUUUACCUUAUUUGGCGUUAUAAUAAAACAUUCGGGGAUUUGAGAUUAAAUUUACUUUCAGACAGUUUAGUUUAGGUUGUUGAUUAAAGUUAGAUAGUUUUCCGUAGAUGAAUAAUUGGACUUAAAUGAUUAGUUUAUUUGAACGAAGUGUAACAUUUCAUUGGCAGAUCUGUUUCUAGUUGUAAUGUACGACAAGACUAUUGACGGACGUGACAGGUCGGCAGUUAGUUUUCACCUUUUUUUCUCUAGUAUUUUUUAUUUCCUUUAAAUUUGGAAUACAUCAUAGGUUUCUUUUGUAUAGAUCUCCGAUUAGUUACAUUUUCUUAUUUAAUUAACUAAUAAUUUAAUUUAUUCCGGACCUUCUUACUUUGAAUCACAAUUUCAGAUUUUCUUUAUUCAGUGUUAGAUUACCGUAACUGCUCAAAUCAUCCAAGUUCUUACUACUCACAUCAACACUAAUUUUCUUUCACCUCCCCCCUCCCGAUCCCCUAUAUCUUCCGGUGGUGUUCAUUUGGUAUGCAAUACUAGUUCGGCCACUACCCUUUCUUCCACAAGAAACCGGACUUGGACUGACUUGAGGCCGCGUCCCCCACCUUGCUCCGUAAAACGAAAACGAAACGAAACGAAAAAAAUAAUUUCUGUUAAGCCAUUGCAAAUAUUUUUCAAAUUUUAUGUCGCCUAGUUUCACUAGUUUCACUCACAUUGAAAUGUGUGAAAUUGCUUUAAUUAUAACAUUUUUGAAUAAAUUAUUUGUAUCCUAAAGUGGGGAUCAAAAUAUUGAUAAAUCAUAAGUUUUUUAUUAACAAAAAAUAAAAAAAGAUUACCUUAUAAAAAAUUGAAAUCUACGUCAACGGGCCAUUUUACAUGAUUAUUUAAAAUGGGUCCGCGGGCCACAAAAUAUCAGCUCGCGGGCCACGUUUGGCCCGCGGGCCAUACUUUGGUCACCCCUGCACUAGGCCCUCCCCAAAAGCCGAGUGUUUAUUGCCGAUGUCGAUUCCAUUGAAGCAAACGGCGUCAUCCGGCCGGAACACACAGCCUAUAAAAAUCUUGAUAGAGUUUGUUUGUAAACAUUCAUCAAUAUGACGUUUCUAGAAGUGUUGCCAAAUUUUUAAUCAUUUUUUCUCCAGAAUGGUGCGUGAUGGUGCGCGAGAGUGCGCGAAGUGUGCGCGAACUGUGCAAGGCUGUUUAAGUCAGUGCACGCACAGCGUGCUGAGUGUCCAACUCCUGAGGAAUACACUCUUGUUUACAAAAGUUUUGUGCCCUAAUGAAAUGGAAAGCACGAUUUAUUUUUGCCUAAGGAAUCUAAUCAUCUAAUUAUGCGAACAUCCUCUAACAAAUUUUGAAUUUUGUUCUUACAACGGAAAAAAGACAUAAAAAUUCAUAUUUCCGUAGUAACAUUUCAAUAGGGCGAAUCUGCAUUUGUAAACAAGCAGACUAUCUCUUUUGCUCAAGUGACAGUUCACCUCAAGUAAGAAGGGGAUAGACUGCUUGUUUACAAACGCAGAUUCGCCCUAUUGAACUGUUACUACGGAUUUUUUAUGCAUUAAUUGAUAAUUUGUGACUGAAAAUAUGGAAAAAAUCGAUUUUUUAUAGUCUAUUCUCGGCAUUUUUAAUUUAUAUGAAAUUUGGCAUCCACUAUUGGAAAACUAUUUGAAAGGUUUUUUUUAUUUUACUAAGAAUCAUCCAAAUUUACACAUUUAACUGUAAAAUAUAUGUAUAUCUAGCCAAUCGGCCACCGAAGGGUUUAAACUCCACAAUUUAGCUUCUCCGUAGUGAAGAAAUAAUGUCACAAAGUCAAGUCCCUUGCACGCCAAAACCACUGGCCAUUUUAUGCAAAUUAUAUUUAUAAAUAACUUGGAGCGUUUGGUACGGCAUGUCCACGCCUCUUUUCUUUCCGCAUGAUUCUUGGAAAUGGCCGUUCUUGGAAUCUUUCUCAUAAGAAUAAUGCAACACAAUAAGCCUGGUUCUCGGAAGUACUGCCACCAUUAAUAAUUACAAUAAAAAACUACUUUCGAUGUUCAAAAAGUUUACGAAUUAAGGAUUCAUAUAAGGACUAAAUUAUGGAUUUGCUUGAUUUAACUUGUUUUAUGUGAUUUUGCUAAUGUUUUGAAAAAACGUUACUUUAUCCACCUUAAGGUGGUUGGUGCCUUCCUCGCAUUCAUGUUGUAUUUUAGGUGGUAUUUUUAAAUUAAUUUAAGAGUUUUUUUUAAAUUUUUUUUUAUUUUUUUUAUUUGUUUUUUUUUAAUUAUUGAUUUUACUUGAACAGCAAUUUUCAAUUCUUUUUUUACCAACUCUUCAAAAUAAAGGUGAAAAGUCUCAUGAGUUAUAUAUUUCAGUAAAAAGUUCGUGUAAAUCUUUGUCGAGACAAAAUCGAGCCAAACAUUUCAUUAGGGCACAAAAGCAAAAACCGCGAUUCGAGAAAAUCGCUUGCAAAAAAUGGACAACUUGUUUCAAUUCCUAUUUAAAAAAUAAGCAUGACUGAUGGUAUUUUUACUGAUGAUUCGAUAAAACACACCAUUAUCCUCAA